rnacentral:rRNA from 1 species
GUGCAGCAGUCGCGAAUAGUCUACAAUGGACGAAAGUCUGAUAGUGCGACGCCGUGUGUGCGAUUAAUUCCUUCGGGAUGUAAAGCACUUUUCUAUGAGAUAAAAGGCUCUUUAGGUUAAUAGCUUAUUGAGACGGAUAUUAUUAUAGGGAAUAAGCUCCGGCUAACUCCGUGCCAGCAGCCGCGGUAAUACGGAAGGAGCGAGCGUUGUCCGGAUUUACUAGGCGUAAAGGGCUAGUAGGCGACUAAUUAAGUUAUAUGUUAAAUCCCACGGCUCAACUGUGGUCCUGCAUGUAAUACUGGUUAGAUAGAGUACUGUAGAGGAAGGCAGAAUUCCUGGGAGUAGCGGUGGAAUGGCGCAGAUAUCAGGAAGAAUACCAAAAGCGAAAGGCAGCCUCUGGCAGUUACUGACGCUGAAUAGCGAAGGUGUA